rfam:Camelus ferus unplaced genomic scaffold scaffold7347, whole genome shotgun sequence.
GGGUAUAUAGCUCAACUGGUAGAGUGCAUGCUUAGCACGCACGAGGUCCUAGGUUCAAUCCCCAGUACCUCCU